AGAGUUUGAUCUUGGCUCAGGACGAACGCUGGCUGCGUGCUUAACACAUGCAAGUCGAACGCUGAAGCCUGGGUGCUUGCAUCUGGGUGGAUGAGUGGCGAACGGGUGAGUAACACGUGAGUAACCUGCCCCUGGUUUCGGGAUAAGCCCGGGAAACUGGGUCUAAUACCGGAUAUGACCAUGGGACGCAUGUUCUGUGGUGGAAAGUUUUUUCGAUUGGGGAUGGGCUCGCGGCCUAUCAGUUUGUUGGUGGGGUAAUGGCCUACCAAGGCGACGACGGGUAGCCGGCCUAAGAGGGCGACCGGCCACACUGGGACUGAGACACGGCCCAGACUCCUACGGGAGGCAGCAGUGGGGAAUAUUGCACAAUGGGGGAAACCCUGAUGCAGCGACGCAGCGUGCGGGAUGACGGCCUUCGGGUUGUAAACCGCUUUCAGCAGGGAAGAAGCCGUGAGGUGACGGUACCUGCAGAAGAAGUACCGGCUAACUACGUGCCAGCAGCCGCGGUAAUACGUAGGGUACGAGCGUUGUCCGGAAUUAUUGGGCGUAAAGAGCUCGCAGGUGGUUGGUCACGUCUGCUGUGGAAACGCAACGCUUAACGUUGCGCGGGCAGUGGGUACGGGCUGACUAGAGUGCAGUAGGGGAGUCUGGAAUUCCUGGUGUAGCGGUGAAAUGCGCAGAUAUCAGGAGGAACACCGGUGGCGAAGGCGGGACUCUGGGCUGUAACUGACACUGAGGAGCGAAAGCAUGGGGAGCGAACAGGAUUAGAUACCCUGGUAGUCC
rnacentral:rRNA from 1 species